UUUUCUUCCCGCCCGGGCGACCCGGCGGCACCGGGGUGAGUAACACCGGUUAAUUGGCCGAAACCUGCCCCUGUCAGGGGGACAACCCGCCGAAAGGCGGGCUAAACCCGCGUACAUGCCACCGGGGCAUCCCGGAGGCAGGAAAGGCUUCGGCCGGACAGGGAUGGGCAUGCGGCGCAUUAGGCAGUAGGCGGGGUAACGGCCCACCUAACCGACGAUGCGUAGGGGUUCUGAGAGGAAGGUCCCCCACACUGGUACUGAGACACGGACCAGACUCCUACGGAAGGCAGCAG
rnacentral:rRNA from 1 species